rnacentral:rRNA from 1 species
AGUGAACGCUGGCGGUAGGCCUAACACAUGCAAGUCGAACGGCAGCACAGUAAGAGCUUGCUCUUACGGGUGGCGAGUGGCGGACGGGUGAGGAAUACAUCGGAAUCUACUUUUUCGUGGGGAUAACGUAGGGAAACUUACGCUAAUACCGCAUACGACCUACGGGUGAAAGCGGGGGAUCUUCGGACCUUGCGCGAUUGAAUGAGCCGAUGUCGGAUUAGCUAGUUGGCGGGGUAAAGGCCCACCAAGGCGACGAUCCGUAGCUGGUCUGAGAGGAUGAUCAGCCACACUGGAACUGAGACACGGUCCAGACUCCUACGGGAGGCAGCAGUGGGGAAUAUUGGACAAUGGGCGCAAGCCUGAUCCAGCCAUACCGCGUGGGUGAAGAAGGCCUUCGGGUUGUAAAGCCCUUUUGUUGGGAAAGAAAAGCAGCAGGUUAAUACCCCGCUGUUCUGACGGUACCCAAAGAAUUAGCACCGGCUAACUUCGUG